GACGAACGCUGGCGGCGUGCCUAAUACAUGCAAGUAGAACGCUGAAGAGAGGAGCUUGCUCUUCUUGGAUGAGUUGCGAACGGGUGAGUAACGCGUAGGUAACCUGCCUUGUAGCGGGGGAUAACUAUUGGAAACGAUAGCUAAUACCGCAUAAUAAUGGAUGACACAUGUCAUUUAUUUGAAAGGGGCAAUUGCUCCACUACAAGAUGGACCUGCGUUGUAUUAGCUAGUAGGUGAGGUAAUGGCUCACCUAGGCGACGAUACAUAGCCGACCUGAGAGGGUGAUCGGCCACACUGGGACUGAGACACGGCCCAGACUCCUACGGGAGGCAGCAGUAGGGAAUCUUCGGCAAUGGGGGCAACCCUGACCGAGCAACGCCGCGUGAGUGAAGAAGGUUUUCGGAUCGUAAAGCUCUGUUGUAAGUCAAGAACGGGUGUGAGAGUGGAAAGUUCACACUGUGACGGUAGCUUACCAGAAAGGGACGGCUAACUACGUG
rnacentral:rRNA from 1 species